rfam:Capsicum annuum cultivar Zunla-1 unplaced genomic scaffold scaffold3345, whole genome shotgun sequence
GUUCAAACAAAAAAAGGCUUACGGUGGUACCUAGGCACCCAGAGACCAGGAAGGGUAUAGUAAUCGACGAAAUGAUUCGGGGAGUUGAAAAUAAGCAUAGAUACGGAGAUUCCCAAAUAGGGAAACCAUUCAAACUACUGCUGAAUCCAUGGGCAGGCAAGAGACAACCUGGUGAACUAAAACAUCUUAGUAGCUAGAGGAAAAGAAAGCAAAAGGGAUUCCCAUAGUAGCAGCGAGCGAAAUGGGAGCAGCUUAAACCAUGAAAAUGGGGUUGUGGGAGAGCAAUACAAGUGUCCUGCUGCUAGGCAAAGCAACCUAAAUGCUGCACCCUAGAUGACGAAAGUCCAGUAGCUGAAAGCAUCACUAGCAUACUCUCUGACCCGAGUAGCAUGGGGCACGUGGAAUCUCGUGUGAAUCAGCAAGGACCACCUUGCAAGGCUAAAUACUCCUGGGUGACCGAUAGCGAAGUAGUGCCAUGAGGGAAGGGUGAAAAGAACCCCCAUCGGGGAGUGAAAUAGAAAAUGAAACCGUAAGCUCCCAAGCAGUGGGAGGAGCCAGGGCUCUGACUGCAUGCCUGUUGAAGAAUGAGACGGCUACUCAUAGGCAGUGGCUUGGUUAAGGAAACCCACUAGAGUCGUACCAAAAGCGAGUCUUCAUAGGAAAAUUGUCACUGCUUAUAGAACCGAACCUGGGUGAUCUAUCCAUGACCAGGAUGAAGCUUGGGUGUAACUAAGUGGAGGUCCAAACCGACUGAUGUUGAAGAAUCAGUUGAUUAGUUGUGGUUAGGGGUGAAAUGCCACUAGAACCCAGAGCUAGCUGGUUCUCCCCGAAAUACGUUGAGGUGCAAUAGUUGACUGGACAUCUAGGGGUAAAGCACUGUUUAUGUGUGGCCUCGAGAGCGGUACCAAAUUGAGUCAAACUGUGAAUACUAGAUAUGGCCUUAAAAUUAAAAAAGAGAGGUCAAAGUCGGCUAGUGAGAUAAUGGGGGAUAAGCUUCAUCAUCGAGAGGGAAACAGCCCGAAUCACCAGCUAAGGCUCCUAAAUGGCCGCUCAGUGAUAAAGGAGGUAGGGGUGCGAAGACAGCCAGGAGGUUUUCCUAGAAGCAUCCACCCUUGAAAGAGUGCGUAAUGGCUCACUGAUCAAGCGCUCUUGCACCGAAGAUGAACGGGGCUAAGCAAUCUACCAAAGCUGUGGGGUGUAAAAAUACAUCGGUAGGGGAGCGUUCCUCCUGAGAGGGAAGCCUCUGCAUGAGCGGUGGUGGAUGAAGCAGAAGCGAGAAUGUCGGCUUGAGUAAUGCAAAUAUUGGUGAGAAUCCAAUGUCCCGAAAACCUAAGGGUUCCUCCGCAAGGUUCGUCCAUGGAGGGUGAGUCAGGGCCUAAGAUCAGGUCGAAAGGUGUAGUCGAUGGACAAUAGGUGAUUAUUCCUGUACUACCCCUUAUUAGUCCCGAGGGACGGAGGAGGCUAGGUUAGCCGAAAUAUGGUUAUCGGUUCAAGAAUGUAAGGUGUCCCUACCAUUUUUUUAGGGUAAGAAGGGGUAGAGAAAAUGCCUCGAGCCAAUGUUCGAAUACCAGGCACUACGCCGCUGAAGUAACCCAUGCCAUACUCCCAGGAAAAGCUCAAACAACUUUGAGCAAGAGGGUAUCUAUAUUCGAAACCGACACAGGUAGGUAGGUAGAGAAUACCUAGGUGCAUGAGACAACUCUCUAUAAGGAACUCAGCAAAAUAACCCCGUAACUUUGGGAGAAGGGGUGCCUCUUCACAUUACAAAGGGGGUCGCAGUGACCAGGCUCGGGCGACUGUUUACCAAAAACAUAGGUCUCCGCAAAGUCGUAAGAUCAUGUAUGGGGGCUGACGCCUACCCAGUGCCAGAAGGUCAAGGAAGCUAGUGACCUGAUGACAGGGGAGCCGGCAACCGAAGCCCCAGUGAAUAGCGGUCAUAACUAUAAUGGUCCUAAGGUAGCAAAUUUCCUUGUCGGGUAAGUUCCGACCCGCACUAAAGGCAUAAUGAUUUGGGCACUGUGUCGAAGAGAGGCUCGGUGAAAUAGACAUGUCUGUGAAGAUGUGGACUUCCUGCACCUAGACUGAAAGACCCUAUGAAGCUUCACUGUUCCUUGGGAUUGGCUUUAGGCCUUUCCUGCGCAUCUUAGGUGGAAGGCAAAGAAGGCCUCCUUCCGGGGGGCCCGAUCCAUCAGUGAGAUACCACUCUGGAAGGGCUAGAAUUCUAACCUUGUGUCAGGACCUACAGGCCAAGGGACAAUCUCAGGUAGACAGUUUCUAUGGGGCGUAGUCCUCCCAAAAGGUAACGGAGGCGUGCAAAGGUUUCCUCGGGCCGGACGGAGAUUGGCCCUCGAGUGCAAAGGCAGAAAGGAACUGGACUACAAGACCCACCCGUUGAGCAGGGAUGAAAGUCGGCCUUAGUGAUCCGACAGUGCCGAGUGGAAGGUCCAUCGCUCAAUAGAUAAAAGUUACUCUAGGGAUAACAGGUUGAUCUUUCCCAAGAGCUCACAUCGACGGGAAGGUUUGGCACCUCGAUGUCGGCUCUUCGCCACCUGGGGCUAUAGUAUGUUCUAAGGGUUCAGUUGUUCACCCGUUAAAGCGGUACAUGAGCUGGGUUCAGAACGUCGUGAGACAGUUUGGUUCGUAUUUGGUAUGGAAGUUUGAGCAUUGAGAGGACCUUUCCCUAGUACGUGAAGAUUGGGAAGGAAGCACCUCUGGUGUACCAGUUAUUGUGCCCACGGUAAAUGCUGGGUAGCCAAGUACAGAGCGGAUAACUGCUGAAAGCAUCUAAGUAGUAAGCCCACCCCAAGAUGAGUGCUCUCCUAUUCCGAAUUCCCCAGAGCUUCUGGUAGCUCAGCCGAGACAGCGACGGGUUCUCUGCCCCUAUGGGGAUGGAGCGACAGAAGUUUUUUUGAGAAUUCAAGAGAAGGUCACGGUGAGAGGAGACAUUUAUCAGUACGAUAGGUGUCAAGAGGAAGUGUAGUGAUGUAUGCAACUGAGGAAUCCUAACAGACCGGUAGACUUGAACCU